UGACUAAACUUCGCAGACCCAAUAGGGGUUUGGUGGGCCUUCAGAAGUCUAAACGUAGCUCUGUUGGUGAGAGUCUCUUUGAUAUGAUGUAUCCCUGUCAUGUGAUUGUGGCUAAAUGUUGAGGUUAGCCACAUGAAUCUAAUCUCCCAAGUCUAAAUGUAGCAAAGCGAGAUUAGAUUAUUUUGUUUUAGUGUCUUAAUUUCACCCAGUCUAAACGUAGCAAGGUGAAGUUAAGUUGUCUUGUAUUAAUUGGCUAGCCACAUGAAUCUAAUCUCCCAAGUCUAAACGUAGCAAAGCGAGAUUAGAUUAUUUUGUUUUAUUGUCUUAAUUUCACCCAGUCUAAACGUAGCAAGGUGAAGUUAAGUUGUCUUGUAUUAAUUGGCUAGCCACAUGAAUCUAAUCUCCCAAGUCUAAACGUAGCAAAGCGAGAUUAGAUUAUUUUGUUUUAUUGUCUUAAUUUCACCCAGUCUAAACGUAGCAAGGUGAAGUUAAGUUGUCUUGUAUUAACUGUUUAAACUCAUAGGUUAAACGUAGCACUUGAGUAAGAUGUAUUGUGUUAAAAUUGCAUAACUGUGUGUAUAUGGUUUAAAGUUUGAUAAACUGUGACAUCAUUUGAGAAGAGAUUUUUGUGUAAACUCCAGUUGUCAGUCAGUAUACAGACUGAAAAUUGUGACCUUUCGAUCUCUCAAAAGGUGAUACAGUGAGUGUAUACAUUUGGUGUUUCAAAGUACAAGUAACAGAAAUGAGGUUGAAUCAUGGCAAGCAGCUUGAUCAUGGAGAUAGUAUACC